rnacentral:SRP_RNA from 1 species
UGUUGGUCCUCUCGCAAUGCUAGGCUGCAAACUCCGCCAGGCCCGGAAGGGAGCAACGGUAGCGGCUGACGUGUGUGCCGGGAUGUGGCUGAUAGGG